GUGCUCACUUUGGCAGCAAAUAUACUAAAAUUGCAAUGGUACAGAGAAGAUUAGCAUGGUCCCUGUGCAAGGAUGACACACAAAUUCAUGAACCGUUCCAAAUGUUU
rnacentral:snRNA from 1 species